UACGGAGGAUGCGAGCGUUAUCCGGAUUUAUUGGGUUUAAAGGGUGCGUAGGCGGGCUUUUAAGUCAGCGGUAAAAAUUCGGGGCUCAACCCCGUCCGGCCGUUGAAACUGGGGGUCUUGAGUGGGCGAGAAGAAGGCGGAAUGCGUGGUGUAGCGGUGAAAUGCAUAGAUAUCACGCAGAACCCCGAUUGCGAAGGCAGCCUUCCGGCGCCCUACUGACGCUGAAGCACGAAGGCGUGGGUAUCGAACAGG
rnacentral:rRNA from 1 species